ACCGGAGACGGGGACAAGAUCGCCCGGUUAUCGUCCUUCAGGAGGAGCCUCAGACCGCGGGGGGCGAUGCUCAGAGGGAGUCUGUCCGCGGGCAGCAGGACUUAAAAAGCUGCGGUCCAUCCAUCUGGACACUUUUUACUCUCGCCCCUUCUUCCCCUCCGAUAAGGAAGAUAAGAACCAGCAUCUCCCAGCUUGCAGUCCUCUUUUGGUCUCUGACCCCAGUUUGACGGAGAGUCUUGUUUGAUUUCAGCACGAUGCUGAAGACCGGGAUCCUCCCGCUGCUGCUGUGGGUGUUUGUGGCGUCCGGAGAACUCCAACAAGAGACGGAGCCGCGGAGACUGCCACCCCCGGGAAAGUUGGAUUUCGGUUAUGUGCCUGCGGGAGUUUACGAGACUCUGGCCCACUACGAGCCGGGGCCGAUAGGGAUCCUGUUCCACAUGGUGCACGCGUUUCUGUAUGUCGUGCAACCCAACGCGUUCCCGCAAGAUCUUAUUGUCAAACUGGCAAAGGACAAGUUUGGAGCCAUUCAGACAGAAUACCAAAAGGCCAUCUACUACGAGAUCGGCUUCCUAGUAUGCGCUGCAGUCGGGCUGCUGUUCGCCGUUCUGGUGCCGAUAGUUGGCCUCUUUUUCUGCAUGUGCCGCUGCUGUGACAACUGCGGCGGCGAGAUGCACCAACGGCAGAGGAAGAACGCGGACUGCCGGCGUGGCCUAUUAGGAACGCUGCUCUUCUCCACCUCACUGGUCAUCACGAUCGGAGUUCUGUGUGCAUAUGCUGCCAACCAGAACCUGAGCUCCCAGGUGAAGAACAUACGGAGACUGGUCAACAGCAACAUGAGGGACCUGCACACCUUCGCGAAUGAUACUCCAAUGCAAAUUGAUUACCUAAUAUCCCAAUACGCCACCGCCAAGAACAAAGUCAUCUAUGACCUAGAUAAUAUAGGUCCAUUAUUGGGUGGACGGAUACACGAUCAGCUGGAUAAGGAGGUUCAUCCUGCCCUGGACAGAGCGCUCAAUAUGGCUGGAGCCAUGCGAGAAACCAAGGAGGCCCUGGAGAACGUCAGCGUGGGUCUGGAGGUUCUCCAGGAAGGAACAGGGAAGCUCAACUUCAACCUGAGUCUGGUCCGCACCAGCAUCAACCGCACCCUCAACGACCCGGGCUGUCAUGACGAGGAGUCCGACGCCACGUCUGCACAGCUGUGCCGCAAUAUCCGCCAGUCGCUGUCCCAGCUGCAGAUCGGCGCCAACUUCACACGGUUACCCAAAGUGAACGCUCAGCUGCAAAAGGUGAACGACGUAUUGAAAACGGACCUCAGUGCUAUAGUCCAGAGGGGCUACGCCUCUUUGAACAACACGCCACACAUGGUGGUUGAACAGACCAGGAGUGUUGUGGAAACUGUGCAGAGUUUGGUGGACGGUAUUGGCAAUAACAUCAGCAGCUUUUCCAAGGUAUUCCCUGUGCAGAGCUGCCUGUCUAACUUCACCAUCUUCAUUAGCCAUGCCCACGCCAAGAUCGAGGACUACUACCCUGAAAUUGACAAAAUGGACUUCUACAGGUGGAUUGGCUGUAUUGCUCUUUGCUGCAUGGUGGUCCUGGUGCUGGCCUUCAACUACCUGGGCCUGCUUUGUGGCACCCUGGGAUACGACAAGCACGCGUCACCUACGACACGAGGCUGCAUCUCCAACACGGGGGGAACGAUGCUCAUGGCCGGCGUCGGCUUCAGCAUCAUCUUCUCCUGGGUGCUGAUGGGAGUGGUGACCAUCAUCUUCCUGGCUGGAGGGAACAUGGAGAAACUUGUUUGUGAACCGUUUCACAGCAAAGAAAUCUUCAAUGUUGUGGACAGCCCGUAUUUGGUCAACCCAGACUGGAAGAACUUCAUCCCCGGCUACAUGUACAACGACUCUGACCUGGAGCUGACAGCAGAGAGCUUAUACAGUACCUGCAAAGAGAACAAAGGCAUCUACUCAGCCAUGCGUCUGGACAAAGUUUUCAACAUCUCCUCGUUCCUGAACACUACAGUGUUUACGAAGGAUGUGGUGAGUCAGCUGGACAGCGUCAGGAUCGACCUGAGGGGGAUAAUCCUGUUAGAGGCAGAGGGGAAGCAGAACCUCCUGGAUUUCUCUGAAGCCGGGCUGUCGGAAAUCAACUACGCAGACUACCUGGAAGAGGUCAACAAAGGAGUCACUCAGGUGGACCUGCUCUCAUUUGCCAGAGAGCUGGAGGCCCAGACCGACCUCAUGCCCAGAGGCGCUCUGCAGACCGCACUUAAAGGCCACGUCGGCACUCUGCGGCAGAUCCACAGUCAACAGAUCAUCCCCAUGGAGCAGGCCAUGAGUGCACUGAAUCAGAGUAUGAGGUACCUGGAGAGAACAGCCUCAGAUCUGCCAAACAAAGUUACAGCAGUUCUUGAUGCCAUCGAAGCCGCCCAGUUCCUCAUCUCCCAGAAUGCUUCACAUUUAAUCAAUCGGGAAUCAGGGAAAUACACGGCGACUAUUGUUGGCUACUUCCAUCAAUACAUAGAAUGGGUCAAAACAUCUUUGGCUAUGGAGGUUGCACCAUGUAAGCCCUUCAGCAACAUGGUGGACACGGCAGAUAUCAUUGCUUGCAGUUUCUUGGUCGACUCCAUGAACACAUUCUGGAUGGGCCUGGGCUGCAGCACUCUCUUCCUGCUCCCGAGCAUCAUCCUCGCAGUGAAACUAGCCAAGUACUACCGCAGGAUGGAUACAGAGGAUGUUUACGAUGACAUUGAGACAAUUCCCAUGAAAACUAUGGAAAUUGGUAAUAAUGGUUAUCAUAGUGAGAGCUCACAAGGUAUCCCAAAUCCUAUGAUGACAAGCAUCCCUACCUAUGACACUAUGAACAGGUUCCCGCGGGCCUCGGCUCCUCCGAGGCACAUCGACUGGUGACAGAGAGCCGGCUCUUGUUCUGGCUCCUGAAAGCCUCUUUUAGUGCUUUUCUGCUCACAGUGACUUUGCAGGAAAACCAUCAUGUGCCCUUGAAAACUAGAACUAAAACAUACCACACUGUUUGUUUCACAACCCUCGGACCAGAAGAAGCUCAAUAAAAGCUGGUUUCCUUACAACAGAAGAAGAACACAAAAAGCCCUUUGGGUGGUUUUUUUUUUUUUUUUUAACUUUAGUGAACAACUCAACCUCCUCAACCAGGCAGAUCACAGCCUCCAGAACGGUUACCUGCUCCCCAUCAAAGACACUCUGCCUGCAGGACAUCUAACUCUUCUCCCUCAGCAUCAAUCUGAGCCAGGCUUGUUCUGCUUUUUUAUUUCAAAGGACUGCUGUGUCUGCGUUUACAUUUGUUCAGACACAAAACCCAGCUGAAAAAUACAUUCAGCAAGAGGACAUGACAAUAACUGUGAUGCCUGUUCAUAUUAAUGUUUGUGCUUAAGAAGACAGUGGCUGAAAGGUCACUCAAAGGUCAUGGCAAGCUGCUAGAAGAAACUUUUUCUCCUGCUCUUAGAACGGAUGAAUCGCAUUCAACACAAGCUAAUGCCAGACGUGGCACAGUCUAUCAAUACAUCUGCGAGGAAAGGUGCAAAUUAACGUGAAAGUCAAUGUGUUAAAAAGCAGCGUUAUGUUGAGAAUGGCACAUCCUUUUUAACUGCAGCAUGUGAGUUAGUGGGUGUGUGUGUUUCAUAAUGACUGAGAACAGGACGAUUUGAACAAGGUAAAAACAGAGAAACAGGUUGGUCCCAGGUGGAUUUUUGUGAGAAAUUUAGCAUGACUUAAAAAGAUAAAAAGUGUUUACAGUAUCACAAAACAUCCAGACAUCUUUGCUGGUUUUUGGGCGAAUUGCAAAUGACUGGUUGCCUUUCAGAAGUAUGUUUCACGCUGGUUUUUUUGACAGAUAUGCUGCUUUUUCAAAGGGAAAACCCACCCAUGGAUACUCGUUCACUGCUAAAAAUCAGUCAUGUUAUUUUCUGUUUACGUGUUUAAAAUAUACUCUUUACCUUUUCUUUGUUAGCAUACCUGUAAUUAAUUCAUUUGUGUCAUCUACAUUUAAUUUUCAUACAUUUUCCAUAAUGCAUUUAAACAACCUAAAUUCUAGGAUUUUUUUUAUUCAUUUUUUUAAAGGUGAGACAAAUGUAUCAUCACAGCAAAACACCAAUACACACCAAGCAGCGGCUAAGUGCAAUAAUUCAUUUAUUUUUGCGACUGAGAGGCAUGUGUUUCAGGCGGGAAGAAAUUUUUUUGGCAGCUCGCCCUGGGCUGAACCACUGAUUGGUGUGUUUUAGGUGUGACAUGGCUUGUUGCCGUUUUGCUGUAAACUACGACUUAUGCCAAUAUAUUUGUUUCUUUUUAGGGAUUACCAAUACUGUUUUAACACUGAACAAAUUCUUGAUUCUAAAUUAAGGUUGAAUUUUUCAGCCGGUGGCUCCCAAAUGUUUAGUUGGUGGUUACCAUUAAAUUUAAGCAGUUUAGAGUUGCAGCCCCUCCUCACACGGUGUAUGGGACCGUGUCCACCAAAGCAGGUUUUUUUUCUGAGGCCAGUGGGACUUUUUUAAUGCUUUGCAAUGGGAGCACUUUGUAUUAAUGCUGCGCAACAAAGACCAGCAGCGCGACAAGGCACUGAGCGUCUAAUCUGUGCUGAGCGCUGCCGGUUGGGUGUUUAUUUUUUCUGAGCACAGAGAGUUGAAAAAUGUUAAACUUUGGGCAAAAAAGCUGCGCCUGUCAGCCAUUCAAUCACAGCGGAGGAGGGACAAAUCCUGCAAAGAAUCUGUUACAUUAACAAAUGGUGAAUAACAACAGAGCAGACAUCAUUUACUACACUGUAAUAUAUAUUAUAUAAUAUAAUUUCAGUGUUUGUGAUACUUCUGCUGCGCCUGUCACACACAGUGAAAGGAACGAUCAUUUUACCCAAAUGUUAUCACCAAUUUUAAUGACUGAGUCAUUUCUGUGUUGGUGUGAGCAGCAUCUGAAUGUAAACACGCAAGUCUCCCUGCAGCUCUCCCCAACUGCAGCCCUGUCCUGCGGCACAGAGCGGGUGUACUGUUCGCGGUUGUU